rnacentral:rRNA from 1 species
GUAAUCGCGGAUCAGCAUGCCGCGGUGAAUACGUUCCCGGGCCUUGUACACACCGCCCGUCACACCAUGGGAGUUGGUUCUACCCGAAGCCGGUGCGCUAACCUUUGGAGGCAGCCGACCACGGUAGGAUUAGCGACUGGGGUGAAGUCGUAACAAGGUAGCCGUAGGGGAACCUGCGGCUGGAUCACCUCCUUU